GAUGAACGCUGGCGGCGUGCUUAAUACAUGCAAGUCGAGCGAACGGACGAGAAGCUUGCUUCUCUGAUGUUAGCGGCGGACGGGAGAGUAACACGUGGAUAACCUACCUAUAAGACUGGGAUAACUUCGGGAAACUGGAGCUAAUACAGGAUAAUAUUUUGAACCGCAUGGUUCAAACGUGCAAGACGGUCUUGCUGUCGCUUAUUGAUGGAUCCGCGCUGCAUUAGCUAGUUGGUAAGUUAACGGCUUACAAAGGCAACGAUGCAUAGCCGACCUGAGAGGGUGAUCGGCCACCCGGGAACUGAGCCACGGUCCAGACUCCUACGGGAGGCAGCAGUAGGGAAUCUUACGCAAUGGGCGAAAGCCUGACGGAGCAACGCCGCGUGAGUGAUGAAGGUCUUCGGAUCGUAAAACUCUGUUAUUAGGGAAGAACAUAUGUGUAAGUAACUGUGCACAUCUUGACGGUACCUAAUCAGAAAGCCACGGCUAACUACGUG
rnacentral:rRNA from 1 species